UACGGGGGGGGCAAGCGUUGUUCGGAAUUACUGGGCGUAAAGGGCUCGUAGGCGGCUCGUUAAGUCGGAUGUGAAAUCCCCAGGCUCAACCUGGGAACGGCAUCCGAGACUGGGGGGCUUGAAUCCGGGAGAGGGAUGCAGAAUUCCAGGUGUAGCGGUGAAAUGCGUAGAUAUCUGGAGGAAUACCGGUGGCGAAGGCGGCAUCCUGGACCGGCAUUGACGCUGAGGAGCGAAAGCUAGGGGAGCAAACGGG
rnacentral:rRNA from 1 species